GCUAAAUCAUUCAGUGUCUAAAUCAAUUCGUACCGGUUUUAAAAAAAUAUAUAUCUUCUCAAAAUAUAAUUAGAAAAUAUCUCACCAUCCUUAUCCCUCCAUCCACCUCAUCCUCGACUCACUCUCAUUUCUCUCUUCCUCACUAUUUCUUUUUCUUCCUUCACGUUUUCUUUCCUUCUUCAGCAGACCCAUUUCUGCUCUUUCUUCCUUUCUUCUCCUUUUCUUCUUCUUUUCUUUCUUUGUUACCUACUUUAUCUCCUUCUUUUAUUUGCUGCAACAACUCCCCACCGUUCCUCUUUCUCUUUUGAUCAGCAUCUCCACAUCCUUUUCUUCUCCAUGGACAACCAGUCCAUGAGCCACCACCUCUACUCUCCCUCUUGCAACCGCUGAUCACACCAUCACUAUCACCAUGAUUCUUCUCCUUUCUAAUUUGCAGCAACAAACAUGGCACCACCACCAAUAUGAAAGCCACACACACCCCUCCUCAUCACAUAUUUGCUCCAUCUUCUAACCACCACCGUUCCUUGCUCUCCAUGGAGCCUAACAAUCCACCAUCUUUGUUCUCCUUCUUCUGGUUUUGAAUGGAGACCCCCAUGAAAGGACCCAAGCACCACCACCGUGAGCUCCACCACGCAGAGGACGCCACCGGCACAUCAUCUUCUCAUUUUCCUUGGGUAUGAAUAACGGAAGCGCUUGACGACGAAGCCAAAGAACAGACGGAAGUGAGCCAACACGGGAAAGCAAAGAUAUGACUGGAUUUGAUUUGAGUCGCAACUUAGUAAGGAAAGCGCCUAAGACGACGAAAGGAGGUGAUGUGAGCAGAUGCUACUCCACGUGGAAGAUCUAUAGAAGACUCGAAGAAUAGAGUCGGGUGUAGGGCUAGAGCCUUUGGGUAGAAAAGCUUACCGUUAUUGGUUUAAGCUUGCAGGAUCAUUUUAUGAUUUGUAUUUAAGGUUUCGGGUAGGUUCCCGUGCAUUGCUUUCCUAUGGUUACUCAGUGUGGAAAUCAUAGGGAGUAUAUCGGAUUUAUGGAGUCAUUGCAUAGUGAGUCCGUUGUUGGAUCUUAGUUUAUUUGUCAUGUACUUUAUGCUGUGCCUUGAUCGAGGCCAGAUGUACAUUAUUUACGGUUGGGAGUAUGCAUUACAUAUUUUAGAAACACUUCGAAAAGGAAAAAAAAAUAAAUACUCACAUUUAUAAAUCCCUUUUGGAAAAGAUUGCAUAUUUACUUUAACAUGUUACUACCGUGGCACCCGAAAAUCGGGGUGUUACAUUGUGGUAUCAGAGCUUUGGUUGCGAUAACCAGAGCUUGUUGGGGAAUAGGUCUUCUGUGCUAGGUUGUGUGAACUCUGUAAUCGAUCAAUUGGGUGUUGGUCGAUUGACUGAGUGUUACUUUAUAGAUCGUUUGAAUUGUUUCCUAAGGAAACAAUGUGUAGUUAUUAGGGCAUCAUUUGAGGGUUGCUUGCUGAGGGCAAUCCUGUUGACGGCUUGUUUUCUUUCUUUAGCGUAGUAGAAAGCUUCUUGCUUGCUAUCACUGCUUUGAGCACUGACUGCUUGCUUUGACUUGGUGGUUACUGCUUCCACCAAGACUUUAACCGUUAUUGUUAGUUCCUGCACUAUCAUGUGGUAUUUCAAGUAGAGAUUGCUAUUCUUCUGAUAGUAAUAGGGUAUAAGUAUGAGACUCAUUCCUUCGACCGUUGUUUGUAUUUAAGUAUAGAAGUUAUAUAGGGUUUAGAGAAUUUCAUUAAGCCUUGAAGUUUGUCUUAGACUGGUAUAAGCUAGUAAGGAGAGAUAGAAGCUAAGAAUGAAUCCUAAUGAGACGUUGUAUGAAUUCCAGGAAUUAAGGUUGUGUCUUUUUCAAGACAAAAUUGUUAGAGAUUGAAUAGAUUAAGAGAUGAUCUAAGAUUAGACACUACUACAAAAAGUACUUUUCACAUCGGGCGAAAAGUACUUUUCACAUCGGGUAUACAACCGAUGUAAACAAAGGUGAUGUGGUAUGUCCCCACCUUUUCACAUCGGGUACACAGCCGAUGUGAAAACUACACAUUUCACAUCGGUUAAUGCCGCAACCGAUGUUAAAAGUAUGUUUAGUAAUUUCUUUUUCAAAUCUGCACGUGUAUUUCACAUCGGUGGAAUCAAAUACCCGAUGUGAAAACUACACAUUUCACAUCGGUUUAUGCCGCAACCGAUGUGAAAAGUAUGUUUAGUCAUUUCUUUUUCAAAUCUCCACAUGUAUUUCACAUCGGUGGAAUCAAAUCCCCGAUGUGAAAACUACACAUUUCACAU